rnacentral:rRNA from 1 species
GCAUUUAGAGGAAGUAAAAGUCGUAACAAGGUUUCCGUAGGUGAACCUGCGGAAGGAUCAUUAUUGAAAUAAACCUGAUGGGUUGUUGCUGGUUCUCUAGGGAGCAUGUGCACGCCUUGUCAUCUUUAUAUCUCCACCUGUGCACUUUUUGUAGACCUUUUCAGGUCUAUGUUGCUUUCAUUUACCCCAAUGUAUGUCAAUAGAAUGUUGUGCCCUAUAUAAUAUAUACAACUUUCAGCAACGGAUCUCUUGGCUCUCGCAUCGAUGAAGAACGCAGCGAAAUGCGAUAAGUAAUGUGAAUUGCAGAAUUCAGUGAAUCAUCGAAUCUUUGAACGCACCUUGCGCUCCUUGGUAUUCCGAGGAGCAUGCCUGUUUGAGUGUCAUUAAUAUAUAAAUCAAACUUCUUUUUGUUGAGUGGUUUGGAUGUGGGGGUUUGCUGGCCUCUUUUUUAAAAAGGGUUCGGCUCCUCUGAAAUGCAUUAGCAGAACAACCCUGUUCAUCGGCGUGAUAACUAUCUACGCUAUUGAAUGUGAGGGGCAGUUCAGCUUUCUAACCGUCCCUUGGACAAUUCAUCAUUAAUGUGACCUCAAAUCAGGUAGGACUACCCGCUGAACUUAAGCAUAUCAAUAAGCGGAGGAAAAGAAACUAACAAGGAUUCCCCUAGUAACUGCGAGUGAAGCGGGAAAAGCUCAAAUUUAAAAUCUGGCAGUCUUUUGGCUGUCCGAGUUGUAAUCUAGAGAAGUGUUAUCCGCGCUGGACCGUGUACAAGUCUCCU